CCUACGGGAGGCAGCAGUGGGGAAUCUUGGUCAAUGGGCGAAAGCCUGAACCAGCGAUGCCGCGUGAGUGAUGAAGGCCUUCGGGUUGUAAAGCUCUGUGGGGAGGGACGAAAGAGUCGGUUCUAACAGGACCGACGUUGACGGUACCUCCUUAGCAAGCACCGGCUAACUCUGUGCCAGCAGCCGCGGUAAGACAGAGGGUGCAAACGUUGCUCGGAAUCACUGGGCGUAAAGGGCGUGUAGGCGGGAAGGUAAGUCGGGCGUGAAAUCCCUGAGCUCAACUCAGGAACUGCACUCGAAACUACUUUUCUUGAGUGCCGGAGAGGAAAGCGGAAUUCCUGGUGUAGAGGUGAAAUUCGUAGAUAUCAGGAGGAACACCAGUGGCGAAGGCGGCUUUCUGGACGGUAACUGACGCUGAGACGCGAAAGCGUGGGGAGCAA
rnacentral:rRNA from 1 species